CGCCUGUUUAUCAAAAACAUGUCCUUUUGUUUAUUUAUUUAAGGUCUGACCUGCCCAAUGAUUUAUUUAAUGGCCGCGGUAUUUUAACCGUGCUAAGGUAGCAUAAUCAUUUGUCUUUUAAUUAAGGGCUAGAAUGAAAGGUUGGACGAGAUAUUAACUUUCUUUGGUUUAAUUUUUGAAUUUAAUUUUUAGGUUAAAAAGCUUAAAUUUAUUUGUUGGACGAGAAGACCCUAUAGAUCUUGACAUUUAAUUUAAUUGUGGUUUUUAGUGAUUAAUAUAUUGUUAUUAAUAAGGUGUUUGAUUGGGGUGAUUGUAGAAUUAUAAUAACUUCUAUUUAUAUUUUUCGUAGAUUAUUGUUUUAUUGAUCCAUUUAUAGUGAUUAUAAGAUUAAGUUACCUUAGGGAUAACAGCGUAAUUUUUUCGGAGAGUUCAUAUCGAUGAAUAAGUUUGCGACCUCGAUGUUGGAUUAAAAUUAGUUCUGGGUGUAGAAGUUCAUGAACUAGGUCUGUUCGACCUUUUAAAUUUUACAUGAUCUGAGUUCAAACCGGAG
rnacentral:rRNA from 1 species